UCUUUGCCAUAUAAUGAUGAGUUUAUCUUGUUUCUAUUAUUUGUGCACUUUUCUAGUGGUCACAUGAUGUACAUCACAUGGCUCUUCCAAACUCUAUCCAUGGUGGGUCAGAGCAACUUUUCUUGGAGCUGAUUGAAUUUACCUUUUCAUAUCUGUUGUCCUUAGCUUGCAGAAUCCAUGUACGAGUACAAGGUAUGAUGUUCCUGAUCUUAGAGGGUUCCCUUCAAUGCAGGCCUUGGGAAUGAGGCUGUUGAAGAAGGUUGAUAGACCUGAAUACAAGUACACCAUAGCCAUGUUGGGGUAUGCAGAAGAACAUGAGACAACUGUUCUGGAGCUAACUUACAAUUAUGGUGUGACUGAAUAUACCAAG